GGAUGGAUGGUUCAGUGGUAGAAUUCUUGCCUGCCAUGCAGGAGGCCCAAGUUUGAUCCCUGGCCCAUUCA